UUGAAUUAUGUGCAGGUUUUGAAGGCAAAUGAAAUGUGAAGGUAUUUGGUGAGAGAUGAUCUGCCUGCCUGGCUCCCUGAAUGCCAACUGAGAAAGCUUGUCAAAAUUUGUGUUGGUGACUUCUUACUUGGCAUGAAGGGAGUCAAGCAGGUCGCAAUAUUCCAAACUCUACUCUUAAGCUUCAGCGCUUUCAACGAAGAGCAAUCCAUGACUCAGAGAUUCAUUUCCAACAAGAGUCGCCACGUAAUACCCACGCGUCGCGCUUAAAGCCUUCCACGCACUAAGACGUCUGCGUACAUAGCCCCCGCCAAUGCGGUUUUCUUUACAGUAAACGAAAACCAUGGCACUCUCACCAAACGACGCAGCCGGCGCCGGCGGAGACCGCCGUGCCCCCGAAGCGGAAGAAGGGCA